UACGGGGGGAGCAAGCGUUGUUCGGAUUUACUGGGCGUAAAGGGCGCGUAGGCGGCCAGCGCAAGUCAGUUGUGAAAUCUCCGGGCUUAACUCGGAAAGGUCAACUGAUACUGCGCGGCUAGAGUGCAGAAGGGGCAACUGGAAUUCUCGGUGUAGCGGUGAAAUGCGUAGAUAUCGAGAGGAACACCUGCGGCGAAGGCGGGUUGCUGGGCUGACACUGACGCUGAGGAGCGAAAGCGUGGGGAGCAAACAGG
rnacentral:rRNA from 1 species